rnacentral:rRNA from 1 species
CUACGGAAGGUCCGGGCGUUAUCCGGAUUUAUUGGGUUUAAAGGGAGCGCAGGCGGAGAUGCAAGCGUGACGUCAAAUUUCGGGGCUCAACCCCGUCUCGCGUCGCGAACUGCGUCCCUUGGUUGCGGGAAGGGGAGGCGGAACUCGUGGUGUAGCGGUGAAAUGCAUAGAUAUCACGAAGAACUCUGAUCGCGAAGGCAGCCUUCCGGCCCGUCAACGACGCUCAUGCUCGAAGGUGCGGGUAUCAAACAGGAUUAGAUACCCUGGUAGUCCGCACAGUAAACGAUGGACACCCGCGGUUUGGCCUGUAUGGCUGAGCCGCCAAGCGAAAGCGUUAAGUGUCCCACCUGGGGAGUACGCCGGCAACGGUGAAACUUAAAGGAAUUGACGGGG